AAUAAUUAAGAAUAUCUAUUUUCAGGUAAGUCUGUUUAUAUUAUAUUGUGUUUACAUUUUAUUCUGUUGGACUUAUAUUAGUUUAAGGUCCAUAGAGAGCCAGGGCUACAAGCCAGGUAUCUUCCAAUCACCUUCAAAUCACUCUUUAAUGACACUCAGAAAUAUUCUACUGUGAUACCAAAUCACUUUCUAAAGAGCCGAGGNUCUUCAAUACACGCCUGACUUNGNCGUCGGAGUACCUUUUGCAGGUACCUCCCNCUCUNCACCGGGAAGUCGGACAAACGGUCAAAGCUUGAAGAUCACCGAACGGCCAAGGUUGCGAGCGAUCGAGCAACAAGGAAAAAAGAAGACAAGCGAAAAACCCAGUUCAAGCAUCGGAAAGCGGCAAAGCCACGUCAAAAAAGAUUAGUAUCUCGGUCCCCAAAAAUACCACCGAAACAACACCUAAAGAUAUUGUCGGUAUAGUAGUUAUUUAUCUAAGUAGGGUCAGUCAGUCUAGAAGUUUGUUGUUGUGCAAUACUCCAUGUCUUCACACUUCAAUACAAAGUUCAUGUUAGUCUCAGGAAUACUUGUAAAAAUGUAAAAUAAUAAAUAUUAUAAUAAAUGUGUAAUCAACCUUUUUACUUAAAU
rnacentral:lncRNA from 1 species